rnacentral:lncRNA from 1 species
CAUGACUGCUCGCCUCCUAUUGUUCAUCGAGAUAUAUCCAGCAAGAAUGUUAUUUUGGAUUUGGAAUAUGUAGCUCAUGUCUCAGACUUUGGAACAUCUAAGUUUCUAAAUCCCAAUUCAUCCAAUAUGACUUCUUUUGCAGGCACCUUUGGAUAUGCCGCUCCAGGUCAAUUCCUUUUCAUUCUUUUUUUUAUAUUAAUUAAGGUUAUAAUAUUUGUAGUUUAUCUUUAGUAGUUACAUGUAAAAUAGAGUUAUAACACAAUUGUCUAAUCUACAUUUCAUGUUUUGUUUAUGGAAUUAUAUUUUACACACGAUAACUCUUCUUUGAAUGUUUACAGAACUUGCAUACACAAUGGAAGUAAAUAAGAAAUGCGAUGUAUAUAGUUUUGGGAUAUUAACCUUGGAAAUACUUUUUGGAAAGCACCCUGGAGAUAUUGUAACUUAUUUGUGGCAACAACCUUCACAAAGUGUUACGGACCUGAGACUUGAUACGAUGCCAUUGAUAGAUAAGUUGGACCAGCGUCUCCCUCAUCCCACAAAAACCAUUGUUCAAGAGGUGGCAUCGAUGAUAAGGAUUGCAGUUGCUUGCUUAACAGAAAGCCCGCUUUCUCGCCCUACCAUGGAGCAGGUCUGCAGGCAGUUUGUAAUGUCAUAAUCAUCUUCAAAUAUAUAUUGUCUCAUAUAUAUAGCCUAAAUGUUGUUUUCACCAAAUAUGCUUCUCUACUACUUCAUUGUUUCAUAUUUGUAAAACUUUUUGUUUGUAUUGUAAAUCAUUUGAACUGGGUGGUAUUAUCAAAUUUUACGUUCAGUCAAACAUGUGAUUAUAAAUUCAUAGUUUAAAGUACACUUUAAAUAUUACUAUAAUUUUAAAUUUUGUUUUAACUUUUUAUGAAACAUUUAUAUGCGUAUAAAAGUGAACCUAUUGAUACUACAUGGUAAUGUUCUUCAUAAACAAUUUAUCAUAUAUAAGUUUAUCAGACAAAGGUGAAAGCCUACCUCGAUAGAAAUAAAAAACACAAUUCCCCGACUGCAUUUUCUGAAAAGAAUUAAAGGCUUCGUCAAUAAAGAUCACACAAUUUCUGUUACCAACACAGAAACCCGAAGCAGAAGUAGUUCAUUAAGUAUAAUUAUAUCUUCUCUUGUAACAUAUUGACAAGGAAUGCUAUUGUGCAUUAAUGAAUCCUUAUAAUGUUAAAUGAAAUGCCAAUGAGUAAGAUAUAUUAAAUUGGACAAGCAAUAUGCAAGAAUAGGCAACAAAUUUAACCCAAAAUACAAACGACUUUUGAUCAUAUUAUCAAAUUUUGUUAUUGCCAGAUCAAAGGAAUUACAAUAGUGUUGCUUAAGCAGGGGAACUCAUUCAGACACAUCUCUUCAGAAGCCUCUAAAAUAGCAAACCACCUCCUUUUUCACAAGUGACACUAUAAUAUAAGCAAUUCUCAUGGCUACUUAACAAAAUGGCAAGUAUCUUUAAAUAGAAUAAAUGAAAAAAUAACUAGAAAAUUUUGAUUAAGCUAAGAUACACAAUUAAUCAAUUUUUCUCUUUUGGUUUAUAAAAAUUAUUUUAGACGUCUUUGUAGUAUUAUUAUUGUUGGAAAUUCUGCCUUAGUUGCGGUCCGCCCCUAGUCGCCUAAAUUGCGACCUUUGAUUAACCUUCAUUGCAACCUCCAACACCUUCAUUGUGUUGGCUUUGAGGGGGUGAAUUUAGUCUCAUAUUAGAUAGAUAUGACUCUUGAGAACAGUUUAUAAAGAGAAGACACUUCUCACCUUACAAGCCGGUUUUGUAAAAAUGAGUUAGGCCCCAAAUUUCAACAAUUAUUAUAUAUUACUCUCUCCGUUUUCAAUUAUAAGUAAAUUUGACUUUUUAGAUUCAUUCAAUUAAUAAUGUAUUUGGUUCAUAUUAUGGACCACAUCCAUCGUUAAUUGAAUGUACCUAAAAAGUUAAAUUUGUUUAUAAUUAACAACGGAGGGAGUAUAUAUUAGGCAACAACAAGCAACCAAUAGUUAUCGGGAUACAUGCCUAUAUCAACGUCAAUUUUAAACGGAUAGUCGCGGGUAUAGAUUUUGCUGCAAUUUCUAGGUACAAAGUGUGGCACUAUUCUGCGGCCUGAAAGAUGCCUAUAAAAGACAUGUCAAAUUAAAAUAAAGGGUUGGAUUUCCAAGGUUCCGAUCCUUUUAUAAUGACGGAUGGAGCUGGAAAUGAGUCGAGUCGAAUCAAACUUGUCUGAGCUCGACUCGAUUCAUUAAGAAUUGGCUCGGUUCGAGUUUGACACGAGUUUUUUUUUUCAACUCGAGUUCGGCUCGUUUAAAGUUCACGAACAAUUUGGUUCGGCUCAUUAUAUUCAAUUCGUUUGUUCAAAGCACAUAACUUUAGGUAUGAAAACGAGUAAAGCCACUUGAACCACAUAACUCAAAAGUCAAAGAAUUUAAAUUUUUUACCUAUAAAUAUAUUGGAAUUUAUACCAAUUUUUAAUGGACUGGAUGAGGCUAAUUUUCAGCUCAAUUAAUUGAUGAACUUAAUUUUCAACUCAAGUUCGGCUCAUUUGGUUCAUGAAUCAAGUUCGACGAAUCAAUUAUCGAAUCGAAUUACGAACUCUAAUCGAGUUGGUUCGGUUCAUUGCCAACCCUAACGACGAAUAAACUUUUUUUUUUUACUUUCACAUUUUUUUUUCUUUUAAAACAAGUUGUCAAACACAUUUGUUUCACUAGUUUAUAAUAAGGUAACAAACCAUACCACUAAAAAAGCAAUAGAAUAAUAAAUAAAAACACCUUAUUGUAAUAAUAAUAUAGUGUUAAAAAUCAUUUAUUUAGUUAGUACAAUCAUAUAAUUUCGAAAAUAAUAUGUAAAUAUAGUACAAUUACAUAUACUAAGUAUAGUAUAUUUUACUUGUCAAAAAAAAAGUAUACUAUAUUUUAGAUUUAUUAAAAAAAAAUGUAUAGUAUAUUUUAGAUUGUUACACAACAAAUAUUAUGGUGCAGGGGUAAGGCUUCCUCACAUCCAACCUCAUACAUGGUUUGAUUCUUAGCCUUUAGUUAUAAUUUGACAUUUGUAUUUUUAGGCAUGUUUUAUAUCCAACCACAAUCAUGAUUUAUUACAAGAAGCAAGAUUCACUAAAGCACAAAGUCUUAUGGGAUGGUGAUGCGGUUGGAUGUAGUUCUAAGCAUUUUGAGUUUUAUAUAAUGAAUGAUUUUUGUUUGAUAGAUGGAUAAAAUGACAAUAAUUAUUGAAAAUUCACACAUAUAAAUGAAGAAAUUGAGGUUCAAAUCGCACUUACGGCGUUUGGUUUAACAAUUUUCGACAUUUUUACCAAUUGAAUUAUGAGUUGUAGAUUAUAUAAUGAAUGGUUUAAUAGAGUAAUAAAAGAUAAGUAUGUGUGUGUCCCUCUCUAUAUAUAUUUGGAAGCAGAUAAGUAAAUAUUUUAAUCAUAAAUGUUUUAGAUUUUUUUUCUUUUUUGUGGCUCAGUUAAACUCGUUACCUUCCCCUAUUACACCAACCUCAUGUUUCUGAUCAAAACCACCCUAAUAAGUCCAAGUCUUCACCUUAAAGACAAAAGUGGAAGACUUUGAUGAGCCUGACUCUUCACUGUUACAAAUGGGAAUAUCAACUUUUGUGACAACUUUCUCUCUCAUACUUACAUUAUUUUUUACUUUAUAUCUCUAUUGUUUUGGUUUUCGUGCAAAUACCAACUUUUUCUUUGUAAAUUAUGGUUGUCCCAUAAUUAUCAACCAAAUAGUUGUUCAAAUAACACUCCUUUUAUAAAUAUCACCUGCAUCUCCCAUUAUAAUGCAUUCAUCAUAAUAAGUGUCGCGUUCAAAUCAAAUUAUACUUUAAUUGAUUGUGAUUGCCAAUACCUUAAUUGUGUUCAAAUUGCCAAUACCAAUGUCGUGUCUUCUUUUGUUCUUUUAUGUGUUUGUAAUGAUCAAAUCACCUCAUGCUGCAACAAAAAUCAAAGGCCGUGAGGCAGAGUCUCUGUUGAAGUGGAAAGAAAGCUUUGACAACCAAAGCAAAGCAUUACUCUCUUCAUGGAUUGGUAAUAAUCCUUGUAGUAGCUGGGAAGGAAUCACAUGUGAUGAUGAUUCAAAAUCCAUCAACAAGGUAAAUCUCACCAAUAUUGGACUAAAAGGUACACUUCAAAGUCUCAAUUUCUCAUCACUUCCAAAAAUCCGUACCUUAGUUUUAAGAAACAACUUCCUGUACGGCAUUGUUCCACACCAUAUUGGAGAGAUGUCUAGUCUAAAAACUCUUGAUUUGUCGAUUAACAAUCUUUUUGGAUCAAUACCACUAUCCAUAGGUAAUUUGAUUAAUUUGGAUACUAUUAACCUUUCAGAAAAUAAUAUCUCUGGACCACUUCCUUUCACUAUAGGAAAUUUGACAAAACUCAAUAUACUAUAUCUUUACUCAAAUGAUCUCACCGGACAAAUUCCACCUUUCAUAGAUAAUUUAAUUAAUUUGCAUACUCUUUACCUUUCAUACAAUAAUCUCUCUGAACCAAUUCCUUUCACUAUUGGAAACAUGACAAAACUCAUUAGAUUAUCUCUUUUCUCAAAUUCUUUCACUAAGAAUAUUCCAACAGAAAUUAAUAGGCUUACCGAUUUGAAAGCACUCGAUUUGUAUGAUAAUAAUUUUGUUGGUCAUUUACCUCAUAAUAUUUGUGUCGGUGGGAAGUUGGAAAAAUUCUCUGCUGCUCUUAACCAGUUCACAGGCCUAGUUCCAGAGAGUUUGAAGAAUUGCUCAAGCCUUAAGAGACUGAGGCUUGAACAAAACCAACUGACUGGAAAUAUAACAAAUAGUUUUGGUGUGUAUCCAAACUUGGACUACAUGGAAUUGAGUGAUAAUAAUUUGUAUGGUCAAAUUUCUCCAAAUUGGGGAAAGUGCAAGAAUCUCACAAGCCUUAAAAUCUCCAACAAUAAUUUGACAGGAAGCAUACCACCAGAACUAGGCAGAGCAACAAAUUUACAUGAACUUAACUUGUCUUCAAACCAUCUUACGGGGAAAAUUCCAAAGGAGCUAGAAAACUUAUCUUUGUUGAUCAAACUCUCGUUAAGUAACAAUCAUCUUUCUGGAGAAGUUCCUGAACAAAUUGAAUCAUUGCACGAAUUAACUGCAUUGGAGCUUGCAGCAAAUAAUUUCAGUGGCUUCAUCCCUGAAAAACUUGGUAUGUUGUCUAGGUUAUUGAAGUUAAAUUUGAGCCAAAAUAAGUUUGAGGGGAACAUUCCUGUUGAGUUUGGCCAAUUGAAUGUUAUUGAAAAUCUUGAUCUUAGUGGGAAUUCUAUGAAUGGAACCAUACCAGCAAUGCUUGGCCAGUUAAAUCACUUAGAAACAUUGAAUCUCUCACAUAACAAUCUCUCUGGUACCAUUCCCUCAAGCUUUGUUGAUAUGUUAAGCUUGACAACUGUUGAUGUAUCUUACAACCAGUUGGAGGGUCCGACUCCAAACAUUACAGCUUUCGGAAGAGCUCCAAUUGAAGCAUUGACAAAUAACAAGGGCUUGUGUGGUAAUAUCUCUGGCCUAGAGCCUUGCUCAAUAUCUGGUGGCAAGUUUCAUAAUCAUAAGACAAACAAAAUUUGGGUGCUAGUUCUAUCACUCACUCUAGGUCCUCUACUGUUAGCAUUAAUUGUUUAUGGGAUCUCAUACUUUUUUUGUCGAACUUCAAGCACAGAAGAAUACAAGCCUGCACAAGAAUUUCAAAUUGAAAAUCUAUUUGAAAUAUGGAGCUUUGAUGGCAAAAUGGUGUAUGAGAACAUAAUCGAAGCCACGGAAGAUUUUGACAACAAACAUCUCAUUGGGGUUGGAGGACAUGCAAGUGUUUACAAAGCAGAGUUGCCUUCAGGUCAAGUUGUAGCUGUGAAGAAACUUCAUUUAUUACAAAAUGAAGAAAUGUCUAAUAUGAAAGCUUUCACAAAUGAGAUUCAUGCUUUGACAGAAAUUCGACAUCGCAACAUUGUGAAGUUAUACGGGUUUUGUUUACAUCGACUACACUCAUUUUUGGUUUAUGAAUUCUUGGAGAAGGGUAGUGUGGACAUCAUUUUGAAGGACAAUGAACAAGCUGCUGAAUUUGAUUGGAAUAAGAGGGUGAAUAUUAUUAAAGAUAUAGCUAAUGCCUUAUGCUAUCUGCAUCAUGAUUGUUCCCCUCCUAUAGUUCAUCGAGAUAUAUCCAGCAAGAAUGUUAUUUUGGAUUUGGAAUAUGUAGCUCAUGUCUCAGAUUUUGGAACAUCUAAGUUUCUAAAUCCCAAUUCAUCCAAUAUGACUUCUUUUGCAGGCACCUUUGGAUAUGCUGCUCCAGGUCAGUCCCUUUUUUUUUUUUUUUUGUCUAUAUUAAUUAAUUAAGGUUAGAAUAUAGUUUAUCAUUAGUAGUUACAUGUAAAAUAGAAUUAUUUCACAAUUGUCUAAUCUACAUUUCAUGUUUUGUUUAUGAAAUUCUUUUGCAGACAAAGGCUAAAGCCAACCUCGAUACAAAUAAAAAACACAAUUCCCCGACUGCAUUUUCUGAAAAGAAUUGAAGGUUUUUCAAUAAAGAUCACACAAUUUCUGUUACCAACACAGAAACCCGAAGCAGAAGCUGAUAGAAUUAAUUUCGUUAAGAAUAAGAAAGGACAAAAGUUGAUAAUCGUAUCCAAACUUCAAAAUAAUUCACGAUUCAAGUCAUCAAUCAAAAUGACAACAGUGACUGGCUACACAAAGCUCAAGUGUUCAACCCCUAAAAAAUCAUAAUCUAUAAUAAUAAAUCGAGAUUCAUCAGAAUAAAGUAAGGUUCAUGUUACGGCUCAACAAUCGGACAGAAAGAAUUGAGAUCCAUGCUGUGAUUCAUAUCAAAUUAGAUACGCGCAAUUUGCAUAGGUUAGGUUCAUUUUUGUUUCAAACCGAGAUACGACUAGAAUGUAUUGUAAAAUAUUUAUAAACAAGGUUAUGAUGAUAGAUCAGAUAAUCUAGUACUAGUGCUGUCAAAAUGAAUUUUGGCUUGAUGUCUUCUCUCAUUCUAUAUUCCUUUAUAAAUAGUACAGACUCAGUAGCUACAAUUAGUAACUUCCUAAAUUAUACAAAAUAUAUAGGAAACUAAUGAUGACAGAUCCCCUUAUUGACAAGUACAAGUUGUAGAACAAGAUAAGAGGUGAAUAUAUAUAACUACUACAGUGUGGGUUACAUCUUUGAGUUCAAAAAAAGGGACCAUUAACAGAAUGCAAAUUCUUUUGUUGAUGACAAUAUAAAAUAUAAAUAAAUAAUCAAAAUCCAACCAAAUGUUCUCAAUCCAAUCAUAAUGUAGCUGUAAAUAUGUGAUGUGUAGUAAAAAGAAGAUAAUUACCUCUCCCAUAGCAAAAAUAUUGUAUACUAAAUCAAAUGAUCUGAUCCAUUUUCACCAAUACCCUUUGCACGAGCAAGAUCCAUUUUUGAAAUGAUGGAAGCGCCUUGAGUCUCUGAGUAUGACCUCAUGUUCAACAAUCAUGGAUAUGUAGGAUAUGGCACUAUGGCAAUCACCACAGAUGCGUAAAUUCUUAGUGAUUCGAAUAGGUGCACCUGGGGGUAGUGUUAGGAUGCAUAGGCAAGAGCCAACUUCUCACUGUGUUCUAAAAGCUGGUCACCCUUUUCUUCAUCAUCCACAUCAUGAAGAGCAAAGUUUGUCUGUGGAACAUACCCAAUGGCCUUAAUGCGCUGAAUCAAAUCUGCCAGUGUUUCAUAUAUCUUCUGAGAUUGUGAGUGAGUUCUGUCUCCCACAUAAAAGGUUUCCAUACCUUUCCUUCCUUGGACCCAGCUCCAACCAGGUCUUUUCUUGAUUCCAGUACGUUUCAUCAAAUAUCUAAUUCUCGCCACAUCUUUCCAGCGUCUGGCAUUAGCAUAUAUAUUUGAAAGCAAUGUAUAUGUCCCAUCAUUGUCGGCCUUCAAUUCUAACAGUUUUUUCGCCGCGAAUUCUGCAAGUUCUACAUUUGAGUGUGUCCUACAAGCACUAAGCAAGGCAAUCCACACUACUGGUGUUGGUUCCAUCGACAUAUCAUUAAUGAGUCUCGUAGCUUCACAUAGACGACCGGCUCGACCGAAAAGAUCAGCCAUACAAGCAUAAUGCUCUACUCCAGGAUCAACUACAAAAUCCUUGCUCAUUCUAUAAAACAAAUCGAUUCCACGAUCCACCAUUCCCGAAUGACUACAAGCAUAAAGCACAACAAGAAAGGUUAUGCCAUCAAGCACUAGAGCCUCUUUCCUCAUCUCAUCAAAAACACGGAAAGCAUCUUCGCUGCACCCAUGCAUGCCAUACCCGGUGAGUAGCGAGGUCCAAGAGAUGGCAUUUCUCUUUGACAUGCUGUCGAAAACUACUUGGGCAGUAUCUACAUCUCCGGAUUUGGAAUACAUGUCUAUGAGACAAUUAGCCACAAACAGAACAUCUGAAUCAAUACGACUUCUACGCAACACAUAAGCAUGAAUCUGCUUACCAAACCUCAAUGCUGCCAAACGAGCACAAGCCAUGAGUACACAAGAUAUGGUAAAAUCAUUAGGAACUAUACAGUUAUCAAAUUUAAACAUUUCAGAGAAAAGUUGCAGGGCGUGAUUUGCAUCUCCAUACUGAGCAUAACCUCCAAUCAUCACAGUCCAAGUCACCACAUCCCUAUCUUUGGGACAUAUUUCAUCAAACAUCGCACGAGCCACUUCUAAACUCUUGCAUUUAGCAUACAUAUCAAUUAGAGCAUUAAUCCCCGCCAAAUCAUCAUUAUCAUCAUUAUGCUCCCCCUUGAGAAUAAAUUUAAUUGAAUAACAAUGAGUUUCUUUUCCAUGAAGCAAAGCUCCAACAGACGCACAACCAGAAAGCAACGACAUGAGCGUAACCACAUUAGGACGACAACUACAUCCACACAUUUGCCGAAACACAUCCAUUGCUUCACAACCAAACCCUCUCUGAGCAUACCCAGAAAUAACAGAACUCCAAGUAACAACAUCCAACUCAAUUCUCUCUUCCCUCAUUUUCCCAAACAAAGAAAGUGCAUCCUCAAAUCUACCAUUUUGAGAAUACCCGGUAACCAUAGCAUUCCAAGUAACAACAUCCUUAAACCGCAUCCUCUCAUAAACCUUACUAGCGUCUUCCAUUUUCCCACAUUUUGCAUACAUAUCAACCAAAGCAUUCCCAACAAAAAAUCCUCAACCAAACCAGUUAUAACACAUAAACCAUGAACUUGUUUCCCACAUAACCCCAAACCAAGAAAACCACUAACAGGAAGUAUAUUAACAACACCAACAGUAUCCGGCAAAAUCCCAUACCCAACCGUCAUUUCCCUAAAAAGAAAAACAGCAUCAUUUGGAACAAAACAAUGCGAAUAAACAGAAACAAUCGAAUUCUACGACACCGAAAUAAGAGGAGACCAUGUAUAAUGUAUUGUUGAUGAAGUAGUUUUGCUUGGAUUAUAGAUUUGCAUUGCUGUUUUGAAAUUUACGAAGAAGAAUGAUAUAAGAGGAGAUUAUGUGUAUUGAUAAGUAGUGGUGGUUUUGAGUUGAACGGAGGGAAACGUGAGAGCAUGCUAGCUUUUUCAUAAAAAGCCAGAUCAUAAAGUUUUUUCAAUGCUGUUGUUACUUGAAUUCAUUUAUCACUUUUUUCAUUAUGGACAAAACUAAGUACAAGCCUUGCAAGUAAGCUGCUACUAUUGAAGACUUGUGAAGCAAGCUUCCCAUUCUCUCCUUCAACUUUCUGUACAACCAUUCAAUGCAUUGGUUGAUGUGUAUACAGUUGAAAAGCACUAAUGUUGUAACCAAAACUCCAAAUGUUUCAAUUAUCACCGAAUUUCUUUAAAAGGUAAUUUGCAAUCCUUCAUUUGCAGAUUCUUGAAGUUUCUAUUUGCUAGCAUGUACUACAUGGCGUAUUUAAUGAAAUAGACAAAUAGUUAAAUUUGGUGCUACAAACUUGUUCAAAAUGAAUGAGUGAUCAACACAUUGUCGAUUCAUUUUGUAGGUGUGAUGUUUUUAGUUAUGGGGUCAUCUUAUGGGAGCUCUUUACCAAGCAGGAACCCUGGAAAGAAGUGUAUCUAUAUCGAGUUAUUUAUCAUGUUGGUGAGGAGGAUGGCCGUCUGGACAUUCCAGACAUUAUGGCCCCUGAUAUUACUAAUAUUAUUAGACAAUGUUUGAAGAAUCAAGUGUAAUCUUUUAGGUGCAGAGCAUUUUAAUAUUUAUAUGGUGUAUGUAAUGCACUUAUCGUGUCCUACAUUAAAAUGUUUUGCCACUAAAAGUAAAUGCAAUUACUCAAAAUAGAAUGUGAAAUAAUGAGAGUUCCAUAAAUAUAUUGUUAGCAAUCUGCAGUUAAUAGCAUCUGGAAGUAAGUUGCAAGGAAAAUAAAGUUCAAUCCACCUACUAUUUAAUUUUCUUUUAUUUGUUUCAUUAUCAUACUUGUAAAUUUAAUUUUCUUAAUCUUUAUUAUUCACUGUAUCAGGAUUUAUGGGCAAAAAGAAGAAGAUAAGAACCUUCUCAAGGAUUUCAAGCAUUCGAGACCUGGAAUAUCUAUCAGUUUCUCGCAAUUAGUAAGUUUCAACUCCUCCAAACUCUCUACAUUGGACAGCAUCCUCUCUAGUGUACUGCCAUAUUAAUCAGUCAGACCAAAUUCUACCACAUUUUCCAACAUAUUUUCAUGAGUGUAAUUGGAACUUCAUCUCUAAACAUAUAGUAUACAAAAGUAACGGUAAAAAAUUACAAUCAAAGAAGCCAAUGACUUUUUGCUGAUCAUUAAAUCAUACUGGUUUUUGACUGGAUCUCAAAGAAGCCUUUUAUUGACAUAUCAAAGUAUUCACAAAAUGGGUUGUUAAGGUAAGGAACAUUGCCAUUGUUUUGUUGAUGAAGUGGUUAACGGAUACACCCAACAUAAUAAUUGAAAAAGACCUAGUACCCGGACAGGAAAGCCGUAAAAGAUUACAAUAUGAUGCAUGAAACCAAUACGAAACAUAAUGUUAACUAAAUGGAAAAUCUACAUUAUAAGCUUGGAAACAAUGCAACAACCCGUGAACAACAGCAGAAAAAUGUAGCACAAAAAUCUAGAUUUAAUUCAUACUCUAAGAGAAGUAAAAAAUAUAGUACAAAUUGUUUGUGAAGUUUACUUUGAAAAAUGUUAAAUAAAAAAUGGAAUGUACUUCAGCUAAAUGAUAUGGCAACUAUGAGGUACGUGAAUCUCCUCAAGUAGAUAAGUUAGUCCUUGAACUGCACCAAUCAUAAGAAUUGCAGUCUUCCAAUUCCAGAAUUGCUGCAGAUAAGUGCAGUAGACUGUGAAUGGUAAGAAACAUAUAUUGGUGAAAUCACUGUCAAUGGAGAGAUAAGAUAAGUCUUUCAAUGAAUUAGAUUUUUUUUUUUCUUUUUUUGUGGCCCCUAUUACUCCAACCUCAUGUUUCUGAUCAAAACCACAAUAAUAAGUCUAAGUCUUCACCUUAAAGACAAAAGUGAAAGACUUUAAUGAGCUAAGUCUUCACUAUUACAAGUGGGAAUAUCAAUUACAAUGCAUUAUAAAUAUCACCUAAAUCUCCCAUUGUAAUGCAUUCAUCAUGAUACAAGUGUCUAGUUCAAUUAUAUAUAUCUCAGUGAUUGCCAAUAAUUUCAUUGUGUUGAAAUUUCCAAAAUACUUCAAAGAAUGAAGCUCUUACCAAUGUCAUGUCUUAUUUUGUUCUUCUAAGUGUUUGUAAUUGCAACAUCACCUCAUGCUGCAACAAAAAUCCAAGGUAGCGAGGCUGAUGCUCUAUUGAAGUGGAAAACAAGCCUUGACAACCAUAGCAGGGCAUUUCUCUCUUCAUGGAUUGGUAAUAAUCCUUGUGGUUGGGAAGGAAUCACGUGUGAUUAUGAAUCGAAGUCCAUCAACAAGGUAAAUCUCACCAAUAUUGGAUUAAACGGUACUCUUCAAAGUCUCAAUUUCUCAUCACUUCCGAAAAUACACACCUUAGUUUUAACAAACAACUCCUUGUAUGGAGUUAUUCCACACCAUAUUGGAGAGAUGUCUAGUCUGAAAACUCUUAAUUUGUCGAUUAACAAUCUCUUUGGGUCAAUCCCACCAUCCAUAGGUAAUUUGAUUAAUUUGGAUAGUAUUGACCUUUCACAAAAUAAUCUCUCUGGACCAAUUCCUUUCACUAUCGGAAAUUUAACCAAACUAAGUGAAUUGUAUUUUUAUUCAAAUGCUCUCUCCGGAGAAAUUCCACCUUCCAUAGGUAACUUGAUCAAUUUGGAUCUUAUUCACCUAUCAAGAAAUCAUCUCUCUGGACCAAUUCCUUCCACCAUCGGAAAUUUAACAAAACUCGGUACAUUAUCUCUUUUCUCAAAUGCUCUUGCUGGACAAAUUCCACCUUCCAUAGGAAAUUUGAUAAAUUUGGAUACUAUUUACCUUUCAAAAAAUCAUCUCUCUGGACCAAUUCUUUCCAUCAUCGGAAAUUUAACAAAAUUGAGUAAAUUAACUCUUGGCGUAAAUGCUCUCACCGGACAAAUUCCACCUUCCAUAGGUAAUUUGAUUAAUUUGGAUUACAUUUCCCUUUCACAAAAUAAUCUCUCUGGACCAAUUCCAUCCACUAUCGGAAAUUUGACAAAACUUAGCGAAUUACAUCUUUCAUUUAAUUCUCUCACUGAGAAUAUUCCAACAGAAAUGAAUAGGCUUACCGAUUUGGAAGCACUCCAUUUAGAUGUUAAUAAUUUUGUUGGUCAUUUACCUCACAAUAUUUGUGUCGGUGGGAAGAUAAAAAAAUUCACUGCUGGACUUAACCAGUUCACUGGCUUAGUUCCAGAGAGUUUGAAGAAUUGCUUAAGCCUUAAAAGAGUGAGGCUUGAUCAAAACCAACUGACUGGAAAUAUAACAAAUAGUUUUGGUGUGUAUCCAAACUUGUACUACAUGGACUUGAAUGAUAAUAAUUUUUAUGGUCAUCUUUCUCCAAAUUGGGGAAAGUGCAAGAAUCUCACAAGCCUUAAAAUCUCUGGUAAUAAUUUAACAGGAAGAAUACCACCAGAGCUAGGCAGCGCAACAAAUUUACAGGAGCUUAACUUGUCUUCAAACCAUCUAACGGGAAAAAUUCCAAAGGAGCUAGAAAACUUAUCUUUGUUGAUCAAACUCUCGUUAAGUAACAAUCACCUUUCUGGAGAAGUUCCUGUACAAAUUGCAUCAUUGCACGAGCUAACUGCAUUGGAGCUUGCAACAAAUAAUUUGAGUGGCUUCAUCCCUAAAAGACUUGGUAGGUUAUCUAGGUUAUUGCAGUUAAAUUUGAGCCAAAAUAAGUUUGAGGGGAACAUUCCUGCUGAGUUUGCCCAAUUGAAUGUUAUUGAAAAUCUUGAUCUUAGUGGGAAUUUUAUGAAUGGAACCAUACCAUCAAUGCUUGGGCAGUUAAAUCGCUUAGAAACAUUGAAUCUCUCACAUAACAAUCUCUCUGGUACCAUUCCCUCAAGCUUUGUUGAUAUGUUAAGCUUGACAACUGUUGAUAUAUCUUANUUUUUUUUUUUUUUUGUCUAUAUUAAUUAAUUAAGGUUAGAAUAUAGUUUAUCAUUAGUAGUUACAUGUAAAAUAGAAUUAUUUCACAAUUGUCUAAUCUACAUUUCAUGUUUUGUUUAUGAAAUUCUUUUGCAGACAAAGGCUAAAGCCAACCUCGAUACAAAUAAAAAACACAAUUCCCCGACUGCAUUUUCUGAAAAGAAUUGAAGGUUUUUCAAUAAAGAUCACACAAUUUCUGUUACCAACACAGAAACCCGAAGCAGAAGCUGAUAGAAUUAAUUUCGUUAAGAAUAAGAAAGGACAAAAGUUGAUAAUCGUAUCCAAACUUCAAAAUAAUUCACGAUUCAAGUCAUCAAUCAAAAUGACAACAGUGACUGGCUACACAAAGCUCAAGUGUUCAACCCCUAAAAAAUCAUAAUCUAUAAUAAUAAAUCGAGAUUCAUCAGAAUAAAGUAAGGUUCAUGUUACGGCUCAACAAUCGGACAGAAAGAAUUGAGAUCCAUGCUGUGAUUCAUAUCAAAUUAGAUACGCGCAAUUUGCAUAGGUUAGGUUCAUUUUUGUUUCAAACCGAGAUACGACUAGAAUGUAUUGUAAAAUAUUUAUAAACAAGGUUAUGAUGAUAGAUCAGAUAAUCUAGUACUAGUGCUGUCAAAAUGAAUUUUGGCUUGAUGUCUUCUCUCAUUCUAUAUUCCUUUAUAAAUAGUACAGACUCAGUAGCUACAAUUAGUAACUUCCUAAAUUAUACAAAAUAUAUAGGAAACUAAUGAUGACAGAUCCCCUUAUUGACAAGUACAAGUUGUAGAACAAGAUAAGAGGUGAAUAUAUAUAACUACUACAGUGUGGGUUACAUCUUUGAGUUCAAAAAAAGGGACCAUUAACAGAAUGCAAAUUCUUUUGUUGAUGACAAUAUAAAAUAUAAAUAAAUAAUCAAAAUCCAACCAAAUGUUCUCAAUCCAAUCAUAAUGUAGCUGUAAAUAUGUGAUGUGUAGUAAAAAGAAGAUAAUUACCUCUCCCAUAGCAAAAAUAUUGUAUACUAAAUCAAAUGAUCUGAUCCAUUUUCACCAAUACCCUUUGCACGAGCAAGAUCCAUUUUUGAAAUGAUGGAAGCGCCUUGAGUCUCUGAGUAUGACCUCAUGUUCAACAAUCAUGGAUAUGUAGGAUAUGGCACUAUGGCAAUCACCACAGAUGCGUAAAUUCUUAGUGAUUCGAAUAGGUGCACCUGGGGGUAGUGUUAGGAUGCAUAGGCAAGAGCCAACUUCUCACUGUGUUCUAAAAGCUGGUCACCCUUUUCUUCAUCAUCCACAUCAUGAAGAGCAAAGUUUGUCUGUGGAACAUACCCAAUGGCCUUAAUGCGCUGAAUCAAAUCUGCCAGUGUUUCAUAUAUCUUCUGAGAUUGUGAGUGAGUUCUGUCUCCCACAUAAAAGGUUUCCAUACCUUUCCUUCCUUGGACCCAGCUCCAACCAGGUCUUUUCUUGAUUCCAGUACGUUUCAUCAAAUAUCUAAUUCUCGCCACAUCUUUCCAGCGUCUGGCAUUAGCAUAUAUAUUUGAAAGCAAUGUAUAUGUCCCAUCAUUGUCGGCCUUCAAUUCUAACAGUUUUUUCGCCGCGAAUUCUGCAAGUUCUACAUUUGAGUGUGUCCUACAAGCACUAAGCAAGGCAAUCCACACUACUGGUGUUGGUUCCAUCGACAUAUCAUUAAUGAGUCUCGUAGCUUCACAUAGACGACCGGCUCGACCGAAAAGAUCAGCCAUACAAGCAUAAUGCUCUACUCCAGGAUCAACUACAAAAUCCUUGCUCAUUCUAUAAAACAAAUCGAUUCCACGAUCCACCAUUCCCGAAUGACUACAAGCAUAAAGCACAACAAGAAAGGUUAUGCCAUCAAGCACUAGAGCCUCUUUCCUCAUCUCAUCAAAAACACGGAAAGCAUCUUCGCUGCACCCAUGCAUGCCAUACCCGGUGAGUAGCGAGGUCCAAGAGAUGGCAUUUCUCUUUGACAUGCUGUCGAAAACUACUUGGGCAGUAUCUACAUCUCCGGAUUUGGAAUACAUGUCUAUGAGACAAUUAGCCACAAACAGAACAUCUGAAUCAAUACGACUUCUACGCAACACAUAAGCAUGAAUCUGCUUACCAAACCUCAAUGCUGCCAAACGAGCACAAGCCAUGAGUACACAAGAUAUGGUAAAAUCAUUAGGAACUAUACAGUUAUCAAAUUUAAACAUUUCAGAGAAAAGUUGCAGGGCGUGAUUUGCAUCUCCAUACUGAGCAUAACCUCCAAUCAUCACAGUCCAAGUCACCACAUCCCUAUCUUUGGGACAUAUUUCAUCAAACAUCGCACGAGCCACUUCUAAACUCUUGCAUUUAGCAUACAUAUCAAUUAGAGCAUUAAUCCCCGCCAAAUCAUCAUUAUCAUCAUUAUGCUCCCCCUUGAGAAUAAAUUUAAUUGAAUAACAAUGAGUUUCUUUUCCAUGAAGCAAAGCUCCAACAGACGCACAACCAGAAAGCAACGACAUGAGCGUAACCACAUUAGGACGACAACUACAUCCACACAUUUGCCGAAACACAUCCAUUGCUUCACAACCAAACCCUCUCUGAGCAUACCCAGAAAUAACAGAACUCCAAGUAACAACAUCCAACUCAAUUCUCUCUUCCCUCAUUUUCCCAAACAAAGAAAGUGCAUCCUCAAAUCUACCAUUUUGAGAAUACCCGGUAACCAUAGCAUUCCAAGUAACAACAUCCUUAAACCGCAUCCUCUCAUAAACCUUACUAGCGUCUUCCAUUUUCCCACAUUUUGCAUACAUAUCAACCAAAGCAUUCCCAACAAAAAAUCCUCAACCAAACCAGUUAUAACACAUAAACCAUGAACUUGUUUCCCACAUAACCCCAAACCAAGAAAACCACUAACAGGAAGUAUAUUAACAACACCAACAGUAUCCGGCAAAAUCCCAUACCCAACCGUCAUUUCCCUAAAAAGAAAAACAGCAUCAUUUGGAACAAAACAAUGCGAAUAAACAGAAACAAUCGAAUUCUACGACACCGAAAUAAGAGGAGACCAUGUAUAAUGUAUUGUUGAUGAAGUAGUUUUGCUUGGAUUAUAGAUUUGCAUUGCUGUUUUGAAAUUUACGAAGAAGAAUGAUAUAAGAGGAGAUUAUGUGUAUUGAUAAGUAGUGGUGGUUUUGAGUUGAACGGAGGGAAACGUGAGAGCAUGCUAGCUUUUUCAUAAAAAGCCAGAUCAUAAAGUUUUUUCAAUGCUGUUGUUACUUGAAUUCAUUUAUCACUUUUUUCAUUAUGGACAAAACUAAGUACAAGCCUUGCAAGUAAGCUGCUACUAUUGAAGACUUGUGAAGCAAGCUUCCCAUUCUCUCCUUCAACUUUCUGUACAACCAUUCAAUGCAUUGGUUGAUGUGUAUACAGUUGAAAAGCACUAAUGUUGUAACCAAAACUCCAAAUGUUUCAAUUAUCACCGAAUUUCUUUAAAAGGUAAUUUGCAAUCCUUCAUUUGCAGAUUCUUGAAGUUUCUAUUUGCUAGCAUGUACUACAUGGCGUAUUUAAUGAAAUAGACAAAUAGUUAAAUUUGGUGCUACAAACUUGUUCAAAAUGAAUGAGUGAUCAACACAUUGUCGAUUCAUUUUGUAGGUGUGAUGUUUUUAGUUAUGGGGUCAUCUUAUGGGAGCUCUUUACCAAGCAGGAACCCUGGAAAGAAGUGUAUCUAUAUCGAGUUAUUUAUCAUGUUGGUGAGGAGGAUGGCCGUCUGGACAUUCCAGACAUUAUGGCCCCUGAUAUUACUAAUAUUAUUAGACAAUGUUUGAAGAAGCAAGUGUAAUCUUUUAGGUGCAGAGCAUUUUAAUAUUUAUAUGGUGUAUGUAAUGCAAUUAUCAUGUCCUACAUUAAAAUGUUUUGCCACUAAAAGUAAACGCAAUUACUCAAAAUAGAAUGUGAAAUAACGAGCGUUCCGUAAAUAUAUUGUUAGCAAUCUGCAGUCUCUAUAAUGAAUAGGAACUGGAAGUAAGUUGCAAGGAAAAUAAAGUUCAAUCCACCUACUAUUUAAUUUUCUUUUAUUUGUUUCAUUAUCAUACUUGUACAUUUAAUUUUCUUAAUCUUUAUUAUUCACUGUAUCAGGAUUUAUGGGCAAAAAGAAGAUAAGAACCUUUGAAAGUCUUUUGCAUACUUUGGAGGAGCAUGCAUUGCAACCACUCAGGUACAUUUUCUCAAGGAUUUCAAGCAUUCGAGACCUAGAAUAUCUAUCAGUUUCUCGCAAUUUGUGAAUUUCAACUCCUCCAAACUCUCUACAUUGGACAGCAUCCUCUCUAGUGUACUGCCUAUAUUAAUCAGUCAGACCAAAUUCUACCUCAUUUUCCAACAUAUUUUCAUGAGUGUAAUUAGAACUUCGUCUCUAAACAUAUACUAUACAAAAGUAUUCACAAAAUGGGUUAUUAAGUUAAGGAACACUGUUUUGUUGGUGCAGUGGUUAGUGGAAAUACCCAACAUAAUAAUUGAAAGAGACCUUACACCCGUAACAGAAAAUCCGUAAAAGAUUACAACUUGAUGCAUGAAACGAAUACCAAACAUAAUGUUAACUAAAUGGAAAAUCUACAUUAUAAGGUUGGACACAAUGCAACAAGUCGGCAACAACCCGUGAACAACAGCAGAAAAAUGUAGUACAAAAAUCUAUAUUUAAUUCAUACUCUAAGAGAAAUAAAAAAUGCAGUACAAAUUGUCUGUGAAGUUUACCUUGAAAAAUGUUAAAUAAAAAAUGCAGUACAAAUUGUCUGUGAGGUUUAAAUUGCACUUACCGUGUUCGGCCUAGCAAUUUCGACAUUUUUUCCAAUUGAAUUAUGAGUUGUGGAUUAUAUAAUGAAUGGUUUUAAUAGAGUAAUGAAAGAUAAGAUAAGUCUUUCAAUGAAUUAGUUUUUUUUUUAUCUUUUUUUGUGGCCGCUAUUACUCCAACCUCAUGUUUCUGAUCAAAACCACAAUAAGUCUAAGUCUUCACCUUAAAGACAAAAGUCUUCACUAUUACAAGUGGGAAUAUCAAUUACAAUGCAUUAUAAAUAUCACCUAAAUCUCCCAUCAUAAUACAAGUGUCUAGUUCAAUUAUAUAUAUCUCAGUGCUUGCCAAUAAUUUCAUUCUGUUGAAAUUUCCAAAAUACUUCAAAGAAUGAAGCUCUUACCAAUGCCAUGUCUUAUUUUGUUCUUCUAUGUGUUUGUAAUUGCAACAUCACCUCAUGCUGCAACAAAAAUCCAAGGUAGCGAGGCUGAUGCUCUAUUGAAGUGGAAAUCAAGCCUUGACAACCAUAGCAGGGCAUUUCUCUCUUCAUGGAUUGGUAAUAAUCCUUGUGGUUGGGAAGGAAUCACGUGUGAUUAUGAAUCGAAGUCCAUCAACAAGGUAAAUCUCACCAAUAUUGGACUAAAAGGUACACUUCAGAGUCUCAACUUCUCAUCACUUCCAAAAAUCCACACUUUAGUUUUAACAAACAACUUCUUGUACGGAGUUGUUCCACACCAAAUUGGAGAGAUGUCUAGUCUCAAAACUCUUAAUUUGUCGAUUAACAAUCUCUUUGGGUCAAUCCCACCAUCCAUAGGUAAUUUGAUUAAUUUAGAUACUAUUGACCUUUCACAAAAUACUCUCUCUGGACCAAUUCCUUUCACUAUCGGAAAUUUAACGAAGCUAAGUGAAUUGUAUUUUUAUUCAAAUGCUCUCACUGGACAAAUUCCACCUUCCAUAGGUAACUUGAUCAAUUUGGAUAUUAUUGACCUUUCAAGAAAUCAUCUCUCUGGACCAAUUCCACCUUCCAUAGGUAAUUUGAUUAAUUUGGAUUACUUUUCCCUUUCACAAAAUAAUCUCUCUGGACCAAUUCCUUCCACUAUUGGAAAUUUGACAAAACUCAGUACAUUAUCUCUUUAUUUAAAUGCUCUCACUGGACAAAUUCCACCUUCCAUAGGUAACUUGAUCAAUUUGGAUANUAUUGACCUUUCACAAAAUAAUCUCUCUGGACCAAUUCCUUUCACUAUCGGAAAUUUAACCAAACUAAGUGAAUUGUAUUUUUAUUCAAAUGCUCUCUCCGGAGAAAUUCCACCUUCCAUAGGUAACUUGAUCAAUUUGGAUCUUAUUCACCUAUCAAGAAAUCAUCUCUCUGGACCAAUUCCUUCCACCAUCGGAAAUUUAACAAAACUCGGUACAUUAUCUCUUUUCUCAAAUGCUCUUGCUGGACAAAUUCCACCUUCCAUAGGAAAUUUGAUAAAUUUGGAUACUAUUUACCUUUCAAAAAAUCAUCUCUCUGGACCAAUUCUUUCCAUCAUCGGAAAUUUAACAAAAUUGAGUAAAUUAACUCUUGGCGUAAAUGCUCUCACCGGACAAAUUCCACCUUCCAUAGGUAAUUUGAUUAAUUUGGAUUACAUUUCCCUUUCACAAAAUAAUCUCUCUGGACCAAUUCCAUCCACUAUCGGAAAUUUGACAAAACUUAGCGAAUUACAUCUUUCAUUUAAUUCUCUCACUGAGAAUAUUCCAACAGAAAUGAAUAGGCUUACCGAUUUGGAAGCACUCCAUUUAGAUGUUAAUAAUUUUGUUGGUCAUUUACCUCACAAUAUUUGUGUCGGUGGGAAGAUAAAAAAAUUCACUGCUGGACUUAACCAGUUCACUGGCUUAGUUCCAGAGAGUUUGAAGAAUUGCUUAAGCCUUAAAAGAGUGAGGCUUGAUCAAAACCAACUGACUGGAAAUAUAACAAAUAGUUUUGGUGUGUAUCCAAACUUGUACUACAUGGACUUGAAUGAUAAUAAUUUUUAUGGUCAUCUUUCUCCAAAUUGGGGAAAGUGCAAGAAUCUCACAAGCCUUAAAAUCUCUGGUAAUAAUUUAACAGGAAGAAUACCACCAGAGCUAGGCAGCGCAACAAAUUUACAGGAGCUUAACUUGUCUUCAAACCAUCUAACGGGAAAAAUUCCAAAGGAGCUAGAAAACUUAUCUUUGUUGAUCAAACUCUCGUUAAGUAACAAUCACCUUUCUGGAGAAGUUCCUGUACAAAUUGCAUCAUUGCACGAGCUAACUGCAUUGGAGCUUGCAACAAAUAAUUUGAGUGGCUUCAUCCCUAAAAGACUUGGUAGGUUAUCUAGGUUAUUGCAGUUAAAUUUGAGCCAAAAUAAGUUUGAGGGGAACAUUCCUGCUGAGUUUGCCCAAUUGAAUGUUAUUGAAAAUCUUGAUCUUAGUGGGAAUUUUAUGAAUGGAACCAUACCAUCAAUGCUUGGGCAGUUAAAUCGCUUAGAAACAUUGAAUCUCUCACAUAACAAUCUCUCUGGUACCAUUCCCUCAAGCUUUGUUGAUAUGUUAAGCUUGACAACUGUUGAUAUAUCUUACAACCAGUUGGAGGGUCCAAUUCCAAACAUUACAGCUUUCAAAAAAGCUCCAAUUGAAGCAUUGACAAAUAACAAAGGCUUAUGUGGUAAUGUCUCUGGCCUAGAGCCUUGCUCAACAUCUGGUGGCAAAUUUCAUAAUCAUAAGACUAACAAAAUUUUGGUGCUAGUUCUAUCCCUCACUCUAGGCCCUCUACUGUUAGCAUUAAUUGUGAUCUCAUACCUUUUGUGUCGAAUUUCAAGCGCAAAAGAAUACAAGCCUGCACAAGAAUUUCAAAUUGAAAAUCUGUUUGAAAUAUGGAGCUUUGAUGGCAAAAUGGUGUACGAGAACAUAAUCGAAGCCACUGAAGAUUUUGACGACAAGCAUCUCCUUGGGGUUGGAGGACAUGGAAGUGUUUACAAAGCAGAGUUGCCCACAGGUCAAGUUGUAGCUGUGAAGAAACUUCAUUCAUUACAAAAUGAAGAAAUGCCUAAUCUGAAAGCUUUCACAAAUGAGAUCCAUGCUUUGACAGAAAUUCGACAUCGCAACAUUGUGAAGUUAUACGGGUUUUGUUCACAUCGACUACACUCAUUUUUGGUUUAUGAAUUCUUGGAGAAGGGUAGCAUGGACAUCAUUUUGAAGGACAAUGAACAAGCUCCUGAAUUUGAUUGGAAUAGGAGGGUGGAUGUUAUUAAAGAUAUAGCUAAUGCUUUAUGCUAUAUGCAUCAUGAUUGUUCACCUUCAAUUGUUCAUCGCGAUAUAUCCAGCAAGAAUGUCAUUUUGGAUUUGGAAUAUGUAGCUCAUGUCUCAGACUUUGGAACAUCUAAGUUUCUCAAUCCCAAUUCAUCCAAUAUGACUUCUUUUGCAGGCACUUUUGGAUAUACUGCUCCAGGUGAAUUCUUUUUUUCAUUAAUUAAGGUUAAAAUAUUUUGUAGUUUAUCUUUAGUACUUUACAUGUAAAAUCUAAUUAUUUCACAAAUCUACAUUUAAUGUUUUGUUUUUCAAAUCCUAUUUUUCACAUAAAUAUUUGUAAAUUUCUACAGAACUUGCAUACACAAUGGAAGUAAAUGAGAAAUGUGAUGUGUUUAGUUUUGGGAUAUUAACCUUGGAAAUACUUUUUGGAAAGCACCCUGGAGAUAUUGUAACUUAUUUGUGGCAACAACCUUCACAAAGUGUUAUGGACAUGAGACCUGAUACUAUGCAAUUGAUAGAUAAGUUGGACCAGCGUGUCCCUCAUCCCACAAAUACCAUUGUUCAAGAAGUGGCAUCGAUGAUAAGGAUUGCAGUUGCUUGCUUAACUGAAAGCCCGCGUUCUCGCCCUACCAUGGAGCAGGUCUGCAGACAGUUUGUAAUGUCAUAAUCAUCUUCAGAUACAUAUUGUCUCAUAUAUAUGGUGGAUUCAAUAUAAACGAUUGAACUUUUGUAUGAUCGUCAUUAUCUUUUUGAUACUAUAAUUCAUAUAAUAUUUAGACAAAAUUAUUGAGUUUUACUUAAUCAGGCCUUUUAUUCCAUAAAUAUCAAUAAUUUUAAAGCAAAAUUAAAAUGUUCAAAAUCACUACACACACUGUAAAGAAUGACAUCCUCCCCGCAAGGUCUAGUUUUUGUUUAUACGCAAAUCCAUAAAUUAAUUUUGACCACAUGGUAGACUCAUAUCAAUGAUGUGCACACAAUAUUAUAUAGACAUCAAAAUAUUUAUAAGGAAUAAUUGCUUUAGUUUUCCUAAUUUAGGAGUCAUAAAAUGUUGAGAGACUUGUACAUUUACUCCAAAUGGUGGAGAAAUUAGUUCAAUGUUGGCGAUAAAUAUUGAAUUAUUAACUCUAUGAGUUUAGUGUAGUGUUAAAAAGAUAAACUUUUGAACUCCAAAGGCUUGGUCUAGUGGUAAAAAGACAGGUCUUGAAUCCGAAAGAACCCAGGUUCGAGCCCUACUAGUGCCUUUGGAGGGAGGUUGAAUUCAAAUGUUUUAAGUUUAUGUUCAGAUAGUAUCCUUAAUGAGAUAAAUCUAAAUCUCUUUAUAAAUGAUGACUGAGUCAAGCUAAAAUUUAGUUAGUAUCUUUGGAAGGAGGUAAAUGUAAAUUCUUUUGAAAAUGACCAUUGAACCCUAUAAGAGUGUGUUUGGAUGGAGGAAUGUUUUGAGGGAAUGUAAUGUUUUGAGGGAAUUCAACUACUUUAAGGUGAAUUCUAUUGUUUGAAUUCACCUCAAAGUAGUUGAAUUCCCUCAAAACAUUACAUUCCCUCAAAACAUUCCCCCAUCCAAACACACUCUAAGGUAUUCUCUACUUUGGCCAGGGGCAUUAUCCCUCCAUCUAAAAAUAUUUUCAUAAACAAAAUUGAAAAGUAAUAACAAUGAAUGAUGUUAGAUUAAUGAAAGUUAAGUAUAUAUUUUUCUAAUUGAAAGUUAAACUCAUUACCUCCCUGUUACUCCAAAUCGGUGGACGACUGACUUUAAUUAUUACAAUAGCUUAUUUACGUAUUAUGUUUGUGUGUAUAAAUAAAUAUCAGCUACAUCUCCCAAUAUGAUGCAUGCAAUAUCAUAAUAAGUCUCUUGUUCAAUUAUAAUACAUCAGUGAUUGCCAAUACUUUCAUUUUAUUGUAUUCAAAUGCUUCAGAGGAUGAAGUUCUUACCAAUGUCGUGUCUUCUUUUGUUCUUCUAUGUGUAUGUAAUUGCCACAUCACCUCAUGCUGCAACAAAAAUCAAAGGCAGUGAGGCAGAUGCUCUGUUGAAGUGGAAAGCAAGCCUUGACAACCACAACAGGGCAUUGCUCUCUUCAUGGAUUGGUAAUAAUCCUUGUAGUAGUUGGGAAGGAAUCACAUGUGAUGAUGAUUCAAAAUCCAUCAACAAGGUAAAUCUCACCAAUAUUGGACUAAAAGGUACGCUUCAAACUCUCAAUUUCUCAUCACUUCCGAAAUUGAAAAGUUUAGUUUUAAGCAGCAACUCCUUCUACGGUGUAGUUCCACACCAUAUUGGUGUAAUGUCCAAUCUAGAAACUCUUGAUUUGUCACUAAAUGAACUCUCUGGUACCAUUCCCAAUACCAUUGGUAAUUUGUACAAACUAUCCUAUCUUGAUCUCAGCUUUAAUUAUCUCACCGGGUCUAUCUCAAUUUCUAUAGGAAAGUUGGCCAAAAUAAAAAAUCUCAUGUUACAUUCGAAUCAACUUUUUGGCCAGAUUCCUCGUGAAAUUGGGAAUUUGGUCAACCUCCAGAGACUAUAUCUUGGAAAUAACAGUCUUUUUGGCUUCAUUCCUCGAGAAAUUGGAUAUCUAAAACAACUCGGCGAACUUGACUUGUCUGCGAACCAUCUCUCAGGCCCAAUCCCUUCUACAAUUGGAAAUUUGAGCAAUUUAUAUUAUCUUUACCUUUAUUCAAACCAUCUCAUUGGUAGCAUUCCAAAUGAAUUAGGAAAGCUCUAUUCCCUUUCCACAAUCCAAUUGUUAAAAAACAAUCUUUCAGGAUCAAUCCCUCCAUCCAUGGGUAACUUGGUCAAUUUAGAAUCUAUUCUCCUUCAUGAAAAUAAACUCUCUGGACCAAUUCCUUCCACUAUUGGAAAUUUAACCAAAGUGAGUGAAUUAUUAAUUUACUCAAAUGCUCUCACUGGAAAAAUUCCACCUUCCAUAGGUAAUUUGAUUAAUUUGGAUUCUAUUCACCUUUCACUAAAUAAUCUCUCUGGACCAAUUCCUUCCACUAUCGAAAAUUUGACAAAACUCAGUGCAUUAACUCUUUUAUCAAAUUCUCUCACUGAGAAUAUUCCAGCAGAAAUGAAUAGGCUUACGGAUUUGGAAGUACUCGAAUUAUAUGAUAAUAAAUUUAUUGGUCAUUUACCUCACAAUAUUUGUGUCGGUGGGAAGUUAAAAACAUUCACUGCUGCACUUAACCAGUUCAGAGGCCUAGUUCCAGAGAGUUUGAAGAAUUGCUCAAGCCUUGAGAGAUUGAGGCUUAACCAAAACCAACUGACUGGAAAUAUAACAGAGAGUUUUGGUGUGUAUCCAAACUUGGACUACAUGGACUUGAGUGAUAAUAAUUUUUAUGGUCAUCUUUCUCCAAAUUGGGGAAAGUGCAAGAAUCUCACAAGCCUAAAAAUCUCCGGUAAUAAUUUAACUGGAAGAAUACCACCAGAACUAGGCAGAGCAACAAAUUUACAGGAGCUUAACUUGUCUUCAAACGAUCUAAUGGGAAAAAUUCCAAAGGAGCUAAAAUAUUUAUCUUUGUUGUUCAAACUCUCGUUAAGUAACAAUCAUCUUUCUGGAGAAGUUCCUGUACAAAUUGCAUCAUUGCAUCAACUAACUGCAUUGGAGCUUGCAACAAAUAACUUAAGUGGCUUCAUCCUGGAAAAACUUGGUAUGUUGUCUAGGUUAUUGCAGUUGAAUUUGAGCCAUAAUAAGCUUGAGGGGAACAUUCCUGUUGAGUUUGGCCAAUUGAAUGUUAUUGAAAACCUUGAUCUUAGUGGGAAUUCUAUGAAUGGAACCAUACCAGCAAUGCUUGGCCAGUUAAAUCACUUAGAAACAUUGAAUCUCUCACAUAACAAUCUCUCUGGUACCAUUCCCUUAAGCUUUGUUGAUAUGUUAAGCUUGACAACUGUUGAUAUAUCUUACAACCAGUUGGAGGGUCCGAUUCCAAACAUUACAGCUUUCAAAAGAGCUCCAAUUGAAGCAUUGACAAAUAACAAAGGCUUAUGUGGUAAUGUCUCUGGCCUAGAGCCUUGCUCAACAUCGGGUGGCACCUUUCAUAGUCAUAAUACUAACAAAAUUUUGGUGCUAGUUCUAUCCCUCACUCUCGGCCCUCUAUUGUUAGCAUUGAUUGUUUAUGGGAUCUCAUACCUCUUUGUCGAACUUCAAGCACAAAAGAACACAAGCCAGCACAAGAAUUUCAAAUUGAAAAUCUAUUUGAAAUAUGGAGCUUUGAUGGCAAAAUGGUGUAUGAGAACAUUAUCGAAGCCACUGAAGAUUUUGACAACAAGCAUCUCAUUGGGGUUGGAGGACAUGGAAAUGUUUACAAAGCAGAGUUGCCCACAGGUCAAGUUGUAGCUGUGAAGAAACUUCAUUCAUUACAAAAUGAGGAAAUGUCUAAUCUGAAAUCUUUCACAAAUGAGAUCCAUGCUUUGACAGAAAUUCGACAUCGCAACAUUGUUAAGUUAUAUGGGUUUUGUUCACAUCGACUACACUCGUUUUUGGUUUAUGAAUUCUUGGCGAAGGGUAGCAUGGACAACAUUUUGAAGGACAAUGAACAAGCUGGUGAAUUUGAUUGGAAUAAGAGAGUGAAUAUCAUUAAGGAUAUAGCUAAUGCUUUAUGCUAUCUGCAUCAUGAUUGUUCCCCUCCUAUUGUUCAUCGAGAUAUAUCCAGCAAGAAUGUUAUUUUGGAUAUGGAAUAUGUAGCUCAUGUCUCAGACUUUGGAACAUCUAAGUUUCUAAAUCCCAACUCAUCCAAUAUGUCUUCUUUUGCAGGCACCUUUGGAUAUGCUGCUCCAGGUCAAUUCCCUUUUUUAUAUUAAUUAAAGUUAUAAUAUUUUGUACUUUAUCUUUAGUACUUACAGGUAAAAUGAAAUUAUUUCACAAUUGUCUAAUCUACAUUUCAUGUUUUGUUUAUGGAAUCCUAUUUUUCACAUGAUAAAAUCUUUUUAAAUUUCUACAGAACUUGCAUACACAAUGGAAGUAAAUGAGAAAUGUGAUGUGUAUGGUUUUGGGAUAUUAACCUUGGAAAUACUUUUUGGAAAGCACCCUGGAGAUAUUGUAACUUAUUUGUGGCAGCAACCUUCACAAAGUGUUGUGGACCUGAGACUUGAUACUAUGCCAUUGAUAGAUAAGUUAGACCAACGUCUCCCUCAUCCUACAAAUACCAUUGUUCAAGAAGUGGCAUCGAUGAUAAGGAUUGCAGUUGCUUGCUUAACUGAAAGCCCGAUUUCUCGCCCUACCAUGGAGCAGGU